rnacentral:tRNA from 1 species
GGAGAGAUGGCGGAGUGGUUGAACGCGCCGGUCUUGAAAACCGGAUUCCGCGCAAGCGGAACGGGGGUUCGAAUCCCUCUCUCUCCGCCA